rnacentral:rRNA from 1 species
GACGAACCACACAAACGUUAUUCGGAAUUACUGGGCUUAAAGGGUGCGUAGGCGGCGCGGAAAGUUGGGUGUGAAAUCCCUCGGCUCAACCGAGGAACUGCGCUCAAUACUACCGUGCUCGAGGGAGACAGAGGUGAGCGGAACUUAGGGUGGAGCGGUGAAAUGCGUUGAUAUCCUAAGGAACACCCGUGGCGAAAGCGGCUCACUGGGUCUCUUCUGACGCUGAGGCACGAAAGCUAGGGUAGCGAACGGGG